UCUGAAACUGGAAGUGCUUUCACUGCCAAAAUCUCAGAUCGGCUAAAGCCCAUGGCAACCUCCUCCGACAAGCCCCCGCCAGCUCCUUCACCGACCUCCGUCAAGCCCGAGACGCCGGGAUCCGCCACUCCACGUCAAACCCAACCGAGCCCGAGCGCCGACGCUAACGUCAUCCUCGUCCCCAGCUACUCCAGCUGGUUCUCGCCGGACCAUAUCCACCACUGCGAGGUCCGGUUCCUCCCGGAGUUCUU
rnacentral:lncRNA from 1 species